rnacentral:rRNA from 1 species
AGGUAGGGUCUCCCCCGGGAGGCCCGAACCCCCCACCCUUUGCUGUCGCGAAUCACGUUGCUUCGGCGGGACCUCCCCCCCUCCACCGAGGGGCGGGGGGCCGGGCCACCGCGCCCGGACAGCGCCCGCCGGGGGACCGAACCAACUCUUGUCUUGCGAAAACCCUUGCAGUCGGAGUACAACCGUACAAUCAAAUCAAAACUUUCAACAACGGAUCUCUUGGUUCUGGCAUCGAUGAAGAACGCAGCGAAAUGCGAUAAGUAAUGUGAAUUGCAGAAUUCAGUGAAUCAUCGAAUCUUUGAACGCACAUUGCGCCCCUUGGUAUUCCGAGGGGCAUGCCUGUUCGAGCGUCAUUUCACCAAUCAAGCCCCGCUUGGUAUUGGGUGCGACAGGCCGGCCCCCGUGGCCGGCCCGCCCGAAAUGCAUCGGCGAGGCACCGACCCCCGGCGUGUUAGAAUUUCGAAACGUCGGGAGCACCGGUGACCCUCCGCCGUCAACCGGAGCCCACCCCCCGGG